CGGACGGUCGCAGUCCCGCGCAAGCGGGGGUGAGGAAAGUCCGGACACCACAGGGCAACGUGCCUCAUGAAAGUGAGGGAUGGGAACCGCGAGGAACCUAGACGGAAAGUGCAGCAGAAAGUAAACCGCCGAUGACCGCGCGCAAGCGUGGCACAGGUAAGGGUGAAACGGUGGAGUAAGAGCCCACCGCGCUUUGGGGUAACCCAGGCGGCUCGGCAAACCCCACGUGGUGCAAGACAGAACAGAGGAAGGGCUGCCCGCCCGUUCAUCCUCGGGUAUUAGUCGCAUCCUGCGCAAGCAGGGCGCUCCGCUCCGGCGGAGUGAGAGAAAUGGCCGUCCAGCCUCGCAAGGGGUGGACAGAAUCCGGCUUACAGGG
rnacentral:RNase_P_RNA from 1 species